AUACGGAGGGUGCAAGCGUUGUUCGGAAUCACUGGGCGCAAAGGGCGCGCAGGCGGUUUGGUAAGUCAGAUGUGAAAGCCCACGGCUCAACCGUGGAAGUGCAUUUGAAACUGUCAGACUUGAGUACUAGAGGGGAAAGUGGAAUUCCCGGUGUAGAGGUGAAAUUCGUAGAUAUCGGGAGGAAUACCGGUGGCGAAGGCGACUUUCUGGCUAGAUCCUGACGCUGAGGCGCGAAAGCGUGGGGAGCAAACAGGAUUAGAUACCCCAGUAGUCC
rnacentral:rRNA from 1 species